AACGUAGGAGACAAACGUUAUCCGGAGUUACUGGGCGUAAAGGGCGUGUAGGUGGUUUUGUAAGUCUGGCGUGAAAUAUCUCGGCUUAACCGGGACAGGUCGUCGGAUACUGCAGAACUAGAGGACGGUAGAGGCGUGUGGAAUUCCGGGUGUAGUGGUGAAAUGCGUAGAGAUCCGGAGGAACACCAGUGGCGAAGGCGACACGCUGGGCCGUACCUGACACUGAGGCGCGAUAGCAUGGGGAGCAAACAGG
rnacentral:rRNA from 1 species